rnacentral:rRNA from 1 species
UACGGAGGGUGCAAGCGUUGUCCGGAUUUAUUGGGUUUAAAGGGUGCGUAGGCGGGUCUUUAAGUCAGAGGUGAAAUCCUGGAGCUCAACUCCAGAACUGCCUUUGAUACUGAGGAUCUUGAGUACGGGAGAGGUGAGUGGAACUGCGAGUGUAGAGGUGAAAUGCUUAGAUAUCGUCAAGAACACCUAUAGCGAAGGCAGCUUACUAGGCUGUAACUGACGCUGAGGCACGAAAGUGUGGGGAUCAAACAGG